rnacentral:rRNA from 1 species
GUCACGCUAGUCAUAGGUGCGGAAUGGAGCACCUGGCGUACGGCUCAGUAACACGUAGUCAACCUGCCCUAAGGACGAAGACAACCACGGGAAACUGUGGCUAAUCUUCGAUAGGAAAUUUGGCCUGGAACGGUAUCUUUCCAAAAUCCGCUUCGCCGUGAAGUACGGGCCUUAGGAUGGGGCUGCGGCCGAUUAUGCUAGAUGGCGGUGUAAAGGACCACCAUGGCGACGAUCGGUAUGGGCAAUGGAAGUUGGAGCCCAGAGUCGCUCACUGAGACAAGGGAGCGAGCCUUACGAGGCUUAGCGGUCGCGAAAACUCGCCAAUGCACGAAAGUGUGAGUGGGCUACUCCAAGUGUCUUUCUUACGGAAGACUGUCGCCCAGUAUUACAAGCUGGGAAAGGAAGGAGAGGGCAAGGCUGGUGCCAGCCGCCGCGGUAAAACCAGCUCUUCGAGUGGUCAGGACGAAUAUUGGGUCUAAAGCGCUCGUAGCCGGACAUGUGGGUUCUUGGUUAAAUCCGACAGCAUAACUGUCGACCUGCUGGGAAUACCGCAAGUCUUGGGAGCGGGAGAGGAUAGAGGUAGUCGUAGGGCAGGGGUGAAAUCCAGUGAUCCUACGGCGACCACCGAUGGCGAAGGCAUCUAUCUGGAACGUCUCCGACGGUGUGGGGCGAAAGCUAGGGGAGCGACCCGGAUUAGAUACCCGGUUAGUCCUAGCCGUAAACGAUGCCGACUAGGUGUUGCAACGGCCAAGAGCCGUUGCGGUGCCACAGCGAAGGCGUUAAGUCGGCCACCUGGGGAGUACGGUCGCAAGACUGAAACUUAA